rnacentral:rRNA from 1 species
AUUGAACGCUGGCGGCAGGCCUAACACAUGCAAGUCGAGCGGAGCGGCGGACGGGUGAGUAAUGCCUAGGAAUCUGCCUGGUAGUGGCGGAUAACGUCCGGAAACGGGCGCUAAUACCGCAUACUAUCAGAUGACCCUCGGUUGGAUUAGCGAACUGGCGGGGUAAAGUCCUACCAAGGCGACGAUCCGUAACUGGUCAGAGAGGGAGAUAAGUCACACUGACACUGAGACACGGUCCAGACUCCUACGAGAGGCGGCAUUGGGGAAUAUUGGGCAAUGUGCGAAAGCCUGAUCCAGCCAUGCCGCGUGUGUGAAGAAGGUCUUCGGAUUGUAAAGCACUUUGAGUUGAGAGGCGUUACCAACAGAAUAAGCACCGGCUAACUUCGUGCCAGCAGCCGCGGUAAUAC